UUGGAGGAGAGAGAGACACGUACCCGCCCUGAUUCCCAAGCCAAACAUCCAAAACCAGUUGUGAGUAAAAAAAGUGAUUUUAUUGAAGGUAAUGAAGCAUAGCUCCAGGGUGAACCCAGGCCAAAAUAAUAAACAAAACCAACGAAGUCCCACCAGAGAAAACUAACUAAACCCUAGGAAAGAAACAAAACAAACAAAAGACAAUACUAACCCUCGCUCCCUAAGCCGGAAAACAGGAGAAAACGGUUCCCAAAGAAAAAGGCAGCUCACCCCUUCCGCUUCAGUCUAUGGGUGCCUAAGCACUAAGUUAACACACGGAGAGCGGCUCUCACAGAGCACGCUCACACAAACACACAGCAAAAGUAUAGGCUGGAAACCAGGGCCAGGACCGCGUCGGCUGUCAAACUGCUUGCUCGCUCGCUUCUCUCUCUCUCUCUCUUCCCGGCGGAAGCUGUCAGAACGGCGGUCACGUGUUCCACAGUCCAAUCAGCUGCUCACUACUCUUCAUUAGGGGAGGGACCUGCAAAGAGUCUUAAGCACAGUAAAGAGACAGAACAAAACAGCCCACACAGAGAUCUUAUGGCCACAGCCGUAACAAACCUCAGGAGGAUGCAGCCCAUGAAUUUGGACACGACCACUGAUCUGCUCCCACUGUGGAAACAGGAAGUAGAAGAACUCCCAGAGCUGUCCUCUGAUCAGCAGGAAACCGCAGGAGAACAAGAAAGAGGAGUGCAGAUGCAUAAAAUACUGCAGGGGUGAGACGAGCAGUUCAAGGACUCCAGAUGUUCACCACUGGAAACUCCAGCAGAGGCAGUGAGGAAGCUGAGGCCUCCUGUGGACUCACUCAGCUCCAUGUGUGUCUGUUUGUGUUAUUUUCCUGUCAGGAGUGCUUAUAAAUAAAGUUAUUUUUACAUGUGUGAGGAGAAUAUUACUGGCACCUUAGUGGGAGGGGGUAUGUCUAAAAUAUUAGAAUAUGUCUAAAAAGCAUUAAAUAAAUUUGAUUGUGCAUCUAUAAAAGUAAUUCCUGUUUGUAUAAAUUCACACUGAAAACCAAACUGCACACCACGGUUGAUAAACGGGAUUAACACGAUGUCUGAAGGUUCUCAGUUGUCCAGGUCAUCGUAGUCUAAGGAGCUUGGAAAGGAAAGGCAUCUUUAAGUUGCUGACCCCGUAAGCACUUUGCAGCUGAGUUGAG